UAUCCGCUACAUGAUUUGCGUCCCUGAUUUCUUGGUAGAAAGAGUCGCCCAAGUCUACAGAGAUGGCGAGGAGGCGAGACGGGAUUAGAGGGUCGUGGAUCGUAGGUUGUUGGGAGGGAUUUGGUAGGCGGGUGAACCCCCUCCCCCGAGCCGGCCCUCCCACCGGCCGCCGUGCAGCCGCCGGCCCCCACCGUUCGCUAAGGUUGAGGACACCGGGCCUGGACCACGGACGCCCCGAGCCGCCGGACCCGGAUCAUGGACGCUGGCCUCGUCUCCUUCGACUGGCACCGCUGCUCCCGUCUCCAGUCCCGGGCCAUUCGAGCACAGACGCCACUGCUCCCGCAUCCAAUCCUGGCAGGUGACAGCCGACACCCUCGUCUCCUCCGGCACUGGUUGUCCCCGCUUCCACUGCCGAUCCUGGCCUCGUGGGUGGUGGCCUCGUGGGAAUAAGAUCAAGAUUCCCGCCAAAAAAAAGGAAUAAGAUCAAGAUACUGGAUGAUGGUGCCCUUGCGCCGUUGCUUGGUUACUUGCAGUCGAGCGAUCUGAACUUGCAGGAGUAUAUGCAGCUGGAAUCUUUAGAUAGUUCGCUUGUUGGUAUUUGAACUAUAUCAAAUCACACAGGUAACCCUGGGAAUAGUUUGGACGCAAACCUUAGUUUCAAUUUGGUUUUCCUUUUGGAUUGUGUUUGGUUGGUUUAAAUGGGUUGAGAAUCUAAAGCAAUCUGUGUGGUUUGGAUUCUGUCAA